CUGGCGCCCAACGUGGGGCAUCCCCGUUGUAAGGAGACCCCCGGAAAGGUCGUUUCCUUGUGUGGAUUUACAAAAGACUGUGGGCGGCAGCUACCCCGGUGUAGAGCAGACCCAUUUUUGUCGGAUGGCGCUCCCAGGGAUCAAGGCGGCAGUCCUCAGGCGUACAGAGGAUCGCCUUGAGGUUGUGGACAUCCCCUGCAGCUCCUGUCAGGAUUUGGUUUAUCAACAGGCUGCAAGCUCAGGCACAGAGGCAGGUUGAGAGGGCAGACUUGCAAGAACAACUGGUAUUAGAAGCUGCUAAAGCUAACGCUAAUGACAUCUGCAAGCAAGUUCUUCAGUCUGCCCCUCUAUCCGACUCCAAUGCUGGACAUCCUCAUCAAGGCCUGCGCCAAGAAAGUCCCGAUGGUGGGGAUGUCCAGGGCCAUUCCACUGCCACUGCCAAAGAAGAUACCAACGGCAGCUGUGAUGCAACCGGAUCCGCAAACACCAGCGCAGACACUGCAAUGUUACCACUGCGGGCAACCCGGGGAGCCAGCUGAAAGAUGACAAUCCUGACAAGCACCCUGACCGGCACCAUCCUGAUGCUGUUAGUGACCCAAGUCGUAGUGUGGAUUGUUCCCCAA
rnacentral:lncRNA from 1 species